rnacentral:rRNA from 1 species
GAUGAACGCUAGCGGCAGGCUUAAUACAUGCAAGUCAAGGGGGUAGCAAUACAACCGGCGCACGGGUGAGUAACACGUACACAACAUACCAUAUACUGAGGUAUAGCUUCGGGAAACUGAAGGUAAUCCCUCAUAGUAUUGUGAAAGGGCAUCUUUUUACAAUUAAAGUUUCGACGGUAUAUGAUUGGUGUGCGUUUGAUUAGCUAGUUGGUAGGGUAACGGCCUACCAAGGCAACGAUCAAUAGCUGGCGUGAGAGCGCGACCAGCCACACUGGAACUGAGACACGGUCCAGACUCCUACGGGAGGCAGCAGUAGGGAAUAUUGGACAAUGGGCGAAAGCCUGAUCCAGCCAUGCCGCGUGAUAGAUGAAGGCCCUCUGGGUUGUAAAUAUCUUUUAUCUGGGAAGAAACACUUCUAUUCUUAGAAGCUUGACGGUACCAGAGGAAUAAGCACCGGCUAACUCCGUG